rnacentral:rRNA from 1 species
CCUACGGGAGGCAGCAGUAGGGAAUAUUGCUCAAUGGGGGAAACCCUGAAGCAGCAACGCAGCGUGGAGGAUGAAGGUUUUGUGAUUGUAAACUCCUUUUGUUAGAGAAGAUUAUGACGGUAUCUAACGAAUAAGCACCGGCUAACUCCGUGCCAGCAGCCGCGGUAAUACGGAGGGUGCAAGCGUUACUCGGAAUCACUGGGCGUAAGGAGUGCGUAGGCGGGGUAAUAAGUCAGAUGUGAAAUCCUGUAGCUUAACUACAGAACUGCAUUUGAAACUGUUACUCUGGAGUGUGGGAGAGGUAGGUGGAAUUCUUGGUGUAGGGGUGAAAUCCGUAGAGAUCAAGAGGAAUACUCAUUGCGAAGGCGACCUGCUGGAACAUUACUGACGCUGAUGCACGAAAGCGUGGGGAGCAAACAGGAUUAGAUACCCCUGUAGUC